AAUGGGGUGACUGAAGAAAGGUGAUAAAUUGUAAAUUUAUUUAAGGUUAUAAUGGCCUCUCAUUA
rnacentral:tRNA from 1 species